rnacentral:lncRNA from 1 species
GCCCAUCGAAAGAGCACACUAACGCCACUCAAGUUCUAUCAAAGAAAGCCUCCUAUGUAAACAUAGUCUUUUAUACAACGCAAGAAUUGUUCAGCAUGAAAUGAGUCUAACCAAUGAAACACAAAAACAAGCAAACUGCAUAAGCAACCCAAAGUAAAUAAGAGCUACCAUGAAACAUCAAAAGCCAUCUCCUAGUUUCUUG